rnacentral:rRNA from 1 species
CAUAGGUUAAUGAGGCGAACCGGGGGAACUGAAACAUCUAAGUACCCCGAGGAAAAGAAAUCAACCGAGAUUCCCCCAGUAGCGGCGAGCGAACGGGGAGGAGCCCAGAGCCUGAAUCAGUGUGUGUGUUAGUGGAAGCGUCUGGAAAGGCGCGCGAUACAGGGUGACAGCCCCGUACACAAAAAUGCACAUGCUGUGAGCUCGAUGAGUAGGGCGGGACACGUGGUAUCCUGUCUGAAUAUGGGGGGACCAUCCUCCAAGGCUAAAUACUCCUGACUGACCGAUAGUGAACCAGUACCGUGAGGGAAAGGCGAAAAGAACCCCGGCGAGGGGAGUGAAAAAGAACCUGAAACCGUGUACGUACAAGCAGUGGGAGCCUCUUAAUGGGGUGACUGCGUACCUUUUGUAUAAUGGGUCAGCGACUUAUAUUCUGUAGCAAGGUUAACCGAAUAGGGGAGCCGAAGGGAAACCGAGUCUUAACUGGGCGUUAAGUUGCAGGGUAUAGACCCGAAACCCGGUGAUCUAGCCAUGGGCAGGUUGAAGGUUGGGUAACACUAACUGGAGGACCGAACCGACUAAUGUUGAAAAAUUAGCGGAUGACUUGUGGCUGGGGGUGAAAGGCCAAUCAAACCGGGAGAUAGCUGGUUCUCCCCGAAAGCUAUUUAGGUAGCGCCUCGUGAAUUCAUCUCCGGGGGUAGAGCACUGUUUCGGCAAGGGGGUCAUCCCGACUUACCAACCCGAUGCAAACUGCGAAUACCGGAGAAUGUUAUCACGGGAGACACACGGCGGGUGCUAACGUCCGUCGUGAAGAGGGAAACAACCCAGACCGCCAGCUAAGGUCCCAAAGUCAUGGUUAAGUGGGAAACGAUGUGGGAAGGCCCAGACAGCCAGGAUGUUGGCUUAGAAGCAGCCAUCAUUUAAAGAAAGCGUAAUAGCUCACUGGUCGAGUCGGCCUGCGCGGAAGAUGUAACGGGGCUAAACCAUGCACCGAAGCUGCGGCAGCGACACUAUGUGUUGUUGGGUAGGGGAGCGUUCUGUAAGCCUGUGAAGGUGGCCUGUGAGGGUUGCUGGAGGUAUCAGAAGUGCGAAUGCUGACAUAAGUAACGAUAAAGCGGGUGAAAAGCCCGCUCGCCGGAAGACCAAGGGUUCCUGUCCAACGUUAAUCGGGGCAGGGUGAGUCGACCCCUAAGGCGAGGCCGAAAGGCGUAGUCGAUGGGAAACAGGUUAAUAUUCCUGUACUUGGUGUUACUGCGAAGGGGGGACGGAGAAGGCUAUGUUGGCCGGGCGACGGUUGUCCCGGUUUAAGCGUGUAGGCUGGUUUUCCAGGCAAAUCCGGAAAACCAAGGCUGAGGCGUGAUGACGAGGCACUACGGUGCUGAAGUGACAAAUGCCCUGCUUCCAGGAAAAGCCUCUAAGCAUCAGGUAACAUCAAAUCGUACCCCAAACCGACACAGGUGGUCAGGUAGAGAAUACCAAGGCGCUUGAGAGAACUCGGGUGAAGGAACUAGGCAAAAUGGUGCCGUAACUUCGGGAGAAGGCACGCUGAUAUGUAGGUGAAGCGACUUGCUCGUGGAGCUGAAAUCAGUCGAAGAUACCAGCUGGCUGCAACUGUUUAUUAAAAACACAGCACUGUGCAAACACGAAAGUGGACGUAUACGGUGUGACGCCUGCCCGGUGCCGGAAGGUUAAUUGAUGGGGUUAGCGGUAACGCGAAGCUCUUGAUCGAAGCCCCGGUAAACGGCGGCCGUAACUAUAACGGUCCUAAGGUAGCGAAAUUCCUUGUCGGGUAAGUUCCGACCUGCACGAAUGGCGUAAUGAUGGCCAGGCUGUCUCCACCCGAGACUCAGUGAAAUUGAACUCGCUGUGAAGAUGCAGUGUACCCGCGGCAAGACGGAAAGACCCCGUGAACCUUUACUAUAGCUUGACACUGAACAUUGAGCCUUGAUGUGUAGGAUAGGUGGGAGGCUUUGA